UUAUACACUGUCCUGGCGUUGCAGAUCUAGGGGUUCCAGUUAAGACGUGGUCAGCCUUCUAAAGAAAGUGGGAAUCUCACCAAAAUAUUCAGUUACUUUGCUGUGUUUCUUGCCAGGACAAAGGCUCAAACCAUCAUCUUCUCCUGGUAUCGAAUACCAAGGGACCUUCUGAAGACAACACAGUUGAAAAGCGCAGAGAAAUUGCUAUUCGCUGCCUCAUAGUCUAUCUUGGAGAGAAGGAGGAGGAUCUUUUCAAACAAUACAGCGCAAGAUGGAGGAGGAGCUCAAUGCAGACCUUGCAAUGCAAAUCAUGAAGAUUGCUAUCAUUGGUGAUGGGCCUCCAACCAUCAUCGUUGAGGGAUCCAAGAUCCUGGAGAGGAUUGAUGUUGCCAGAUCCUGUGCUUUGAUGAUGGGAGUAAUCUACGCUCUGAACCUUACCUAUCCCAAGCAGCUGAAAUUUACCUUUGAGGUAUUUCAAAAGCUAUGCCUUGAGCUUGAUGGACAAAAAGCCAGCUCUAAAGUAAUGAAUCUUAAGUUUGGUAUUUUCUAGAGCAGACUUGAUAGACCAUUCGUGAGUGAGUUUCACAAAAACCUUAUUCCUGCAUUUCUGGCACUACUUCAUUGUGUUUUACUAAAUUUUAAAGCGCUGUUCUUAAGUCUUCUGAGUUAAUGGUUUGCUGUGUCUUAAAUGCUGUUAUUUGCACAUUUUUAAGGAAUGCGUUUAAUUUCUCCCAUGACCUGUGUUCUGAGGGUAUUGGUGUGUUUUAAAGUUUGUGUAAUGCCCUCUUUAGCUGGCCUUAAUCUUGAGGGUGAAAAGUCAAAUAUAGAAGAGAAUCAAGAAUACUUUGUAAGAGUGCUGACAAAGUUGAAUGAAAGAAGCUUUGCUCAUUUUAUGUUUAAAUUAGUGCAUUUAAUGUAUAGCAGCCUGUCAUCUAUUGUUUUGAUUCACUGUCACAUGUUAAAGUAAAAAAAAGAGGAUUCAAGUAGUAGGUUUUAUUACAAUUUUAAUACACAGUUCCUUAAGUUUCAGCGGGCAAUUUGUGUUCUAGGAAACUGAAGCCCACAAAUCUUGCACUUCGCACGCACGUUAAAGAAUUGUGAU